UACGAAGGGGGCUAGCGUUGUUCGGAAUUACUGGGCGUAAAGGGCGCGUAGGCGGCGUGUCAAGUCAGGCGUGAAAGCCCCGGGCUCAACCUGGGAACCGCGCUUGAGACUGGCAUGCUCGAGUUCGGGAGAGGAUGGUGGAAUUCCCAGUGUAGAGGUGAAAUUCGUAGAUAUUGGGAGGAACACCAGUGGCGAAGGCGGCGACCUGGGCCAAUAUUGACGCUGAGGUGCGAAAGCGUGGGGAGCAAACAGG
rnacentral:rRNA from 1 species